rnacentral:rRNA from 1 species
GACGAACGCUGGCGGCGUGCUUAACACAUGCAAGUCGAGCGGUAAGGCCCUUUCGGGGUACACGAGCGGCGAACGGGUGAGUAACACGUGGGUGACCUGCCCUCAGCUCUGGGAUAAGCCUGGGAAACCGGGUCUAAUACUGGAUAUGACUCCAUGACGCAUGUUGUGGGGUGGAAAGCCUUGUGCGGCUGAGGAUGGGCCCGCGGCCUAAUCAGCUUGUUGGUGGGGUGANGGCCUACCAAGGCGACGACGGGUAGCCGGCCUGAGAGGGCGACCGGCCACACUGGGACUGAGACACGGCCCAGACUCCGUACGGGAGGCAGCAGUGGGGAAUCUUGCGCAAUGGGCGAAAGCCUGACGCAGCGACGCCGCGUGAGGGA